UAUUAUUACAUGAGGUGGGAGGGGUGUGUCAACAGGGAGAGCGGAGAGGGAACCGAUUAUCAAAGGGAAAGAAGAAGCAUCUGUAGUAGGAGCUACAGGAGGGGGCAUGGUGAAUGCCUGCACUGACGCUGCCAGAUCGGGAGUCACAUCCACUGAACAUCAUCUGGGAGAGCUUAAUUCCGGGGUCACCGAUCCACACUUGCAGAGGAAAUAAUGUUCCUAGUCGCCGCUUACACGAUGACCUGCACUUGUUAACAUAUACACCCCAUGUGCAGCUUCUCCAUCAAUUGUGCCCAGCACAAUAAUUAGUUUAUGCUUCCACUUCCUGACGGAUGUUAAUAUAGCUUGUAACAGAAUAAAUAUUGUUGAGACUGUAUGGAUGUGGAAAGUAACAAAUAGACAUCAGGGUCUUCGAGGAAGGAGGCUGAGGAGGUAUCCGGGCAGCUGUCACUAGUCAUGGAUUGCAGCUUGGUGAGAAGCCUCAUCAACAGAUAUUGUGCUGGGAAAGAAAACUGGGUCGACAAUCGCACUGUUUAUGUUGGACACAAAGAGCCUCCUCCAGGUACUGAAGCUUACAUUCCUCAGAGGUAUCCAGAUAACAGGAUAGUCUCCUCAAAGUACACAUUCUGGAACUUUGUGCCGAAGAAUUUAUUUGAACAAUUCAGAAGAAUAGCAAAUUUUUAUUUUCUAAUAAUUUUCCUUGUACAGCUUAUUAUUGAUACACCGACCAGUCCAAUAACCAGUGGUCUGCCGCUCUUCUUUGUCAUCACUGUGACUGCAAUUAAACAGGGCUAUGAAGAUUGGCUAAGGCACAAAGCUGACAAUGCGAUGAACCAGUAUUCUAUCCAUGUCAUCCAACAUGGCAAACUAGUCAGAAAGCAAAGUCGGAAACUGAGAGUUGGAGACAUUGUAAUGGUGAAAGAGGAUGAGGUUUUUCCAUGUGAUAUGAUACUGCUUUCCUCGAGCAGGGAGGAUGGGACGUGCUUUGUUACAACAGCUAGUUUGGAUGGAGAAUCUAGUCAUAAAACAUAUUAUUCAAUUCAGGAUACAAAAGCAUUUCACCAUGAACAAGAAAUGGACACUCUUCAUGCUACCAUUGAAUGUGAACAACCACAACCAGAUCUUUACAAGUUUGUCGGAAGGAUCAAUAUUUAUAAUGAAACAGAUGACCCAGUUGCCAGGCCUCUGGGGUCAGAGAACUUGCUGCUUCGUGGUGCUACGUUAAAAAACACUGAAAAAGUAUUUGGUGUUGCUAUAUACACUGGAAUGGAAACCAAGAUGGCAUUAAAUUACCAGGCCAAAUCACAGAAGAGAUCUGCUGUUGAAAAAUCAAUGAACGCAUUCCUCAUUGUGUACCUGUGUAUUCUGAUCAGCAAAGCCUUAAUAAAUACUGUACUGAAGUAUGUUUGGCAGAUCGAGAUGUUCCGUGAUGAGCCUUGGUACAACAAAAAAACAGAGCCUGAAAGGCAAAGGAACCUGUUUAUCAGAGCAUUCACAGACUUUCUGGCUUUCAUGGUUCUUUUCAACUACAUUAUCCCUGUCUCUAUGUACGUCACAGUGGAAAUGCAGAAAUUCUUGGGUUCUUAUUUCCUCACAUGGGAUGAGGAGAUGUUUGAUGAGACAACAGGAGAAGGCCCUCUUGUGAACACAUCAGAUUUGAAUGAAGAACUUGGACAGGUUGAGUACAUAUUUACAGACAAGACUGGGACGCUGACAGAGAAUAACAUGGAGUUUAUUGAGUGCUGCAUUGAAGGUCAUGUGUACAUACCACAUGUUAUCUGCAAUGGGCAGAUCCUACAUGACUGUAUGGGCAUUGACAUGAUUGAUUCAUCACCAGGAGCUGGAGGAAAAGAAAGGGAAGACCUGUUCUUCCGUGCUCUCUGCCUAUGCCAUACUGUGCAGGUGAAAGAUGAAGACCACGUAGAUGGUGAAAGAAAAUCUAGCCAGUCAGGCAAAUCCAGUGUGUACAUUUCCUCCUCACCAGAUGAAGUAGCUCUGGUUGAAGGUAUACAAAGACUUGGCUACACGUUUCUGAGACUAAAGGACAAUUAUAUGGAAAUUUGUAAUCGAGAAAAUGACAUUGAAAGGUUUGAAUUACUACAAGUCUUGACAUUUGAUUCUGUGAGGAGACGUAUGAGUGUCAUAGUGAAAUCGGUUACAGGUGAUAUCAUCUUAUUCUGCAAAGGGGCAGAUUCUUCUAUAUUACCCAGAGUCAGAGAAGGGAAAAUCGAUCAAAUUCGAGCCAGGGUUGAACGUAAUGCUGUGGAAGGGCUGAGGACUUUAUGUGUUGCAUAUAAAAGAUUUUCACUGGAGGAGUACGAAGCUACCAACAAGAUACUAAGAAGCGCACAGCUCGCCCUGCAAGACAGAGAAAGGAAGCUGGCAGAGGCAUAUGAAGAGAUAGAGCAGAACCUCAUCCUACUUGGUGCCACAGCAGUAGAAGACAGACUCCAGGAAAAAGCAGCUGACACAAUUGAAGCUUUGCAAAAGGCUGGUAUUAAAGUAUGGGUACUCACAGGAGACAAAAUGGAGACCGCUUCUGCCACCUGCUAUGCCUGCAAACUGUUCAGGAGAAACACCCAACUGUUGGAGCUCACAACAAAGAAAAUAGAGGAGCAGAGUUUACAUGAUGUACUGUUUGAGUUAAGCAAAACAGUGCUGAGGCACAGCGAGAGCUUAACCAGAGACAACUUCUCAGGGUUUUCAACAGAUUUCCAAGAUUACGGUUUAAUUAUUGAUGGAGCCGCACUUUCAUUAAUAAUGAAACCCAGAGAAGACGGCAGCUCUACAAACUACAGAGAGGUUUUCCUGGAGAUCUGCAGAAACUGCAGUGCAGUGUUGUGCUGUCGGAUGGCCCCUUUGCAAAAAGCACAGAUCGUCAAGUUGAUAAAGACAUCGAGAGAACGUCCAAUUACACUGGCCAUUGGCGAUGGUGCAAACGAUGUCAGCAUGAUUCUUGAAGCACAUGUUGGCAUAGGUAUCAUUGGGAAGGAAGGAAGACAGGCAGCAAGGAACAGCGACUAUGCAAUUCCUAAAUUUAAACAUUUAAAGAAGAUGCUCCUUGUUCAUGGUCAUUUUUAUUAUGUUAGAAUCGCAGAGCUUGUCCAAUACUUUUUUUAUAAGAAUGUCUGCUUUAUUUUCCCUCAGUUUUUAUACCAGUUCUUCUGUGGAUUUUCACAACAGCCUUUAUAUGACACUGCAUACCUAACAUUGUACAAUAUCAGCUUUACUUCACUGCCUAUCCUAUUGUACAGUCUCAUUGAGCAACAUGUCAGCAUAGAUGUGCUGAAAGCAGAUCCAUCACUAUACAGAGAUAUUGCCAAAAAUGCUUUACUGCGUUGGCGGCUGUUUAUUUACUGGACCUUUCUGGGACUAUUUGAUGCAGUUGUAUUUUUCUUUGGGGCUUAUUUCCUCUUUGACAACGCCACUGUGACUAGCAAUGGGCAGAUGUUGGGAAACUGGACCUUUGGAACACUGGUAUUCACUGUCCUCGUAUUUACAGUCACCAUCAAGCUUGCACUGGAUACGCAAUAUUGGACGUGGAUAAACCACUUUGUAAUCUGGGGAUCACUCUUGUUCUACAUUGUUUUUUCUCUGCUUUGGGGAGGGAUUGUCUGGCCUUUUCUCAAUUAUCAGAGGAUGUAUUAUGUGUUUAUGCAAAUGCUAUCCAGCGGUCCGGCAUGGCUGGGCAUUGUACUGCUCAUUACAGUCAGUCUCCUCCCAGAUGUCCUGAAGAAGGUUAUAUGCAGGCAGCUAUGGCCUACAGAAACAGAAAGGAUCCAGAAUCCUUCCAAGCUUCCUCAGGACCACGUUUCAGAGUUCACACCUUUAGCCUCCAUGCAGAGCCCAAACUACCAAAGCAACGAGUGCAACAGUGAUGUGGACAGCAGGUCUAAUUAUCUUUCUAAAAAAGUGAUGCUCACUCACUGGGAAGGCAAUGCUUAUUUCAAACUCCCAUCCCUUUUUGGUUAUUCCAAUACCCGCUAUAGCUCCAGCACAGGCUCAUACCUCAGCAGAUCAGGGCUGGAGACAUCUGUGUGACAGAUCACCACUGCAAGCCUUUAUAAACUCUACAUUUUAUAACUUGGGAGAUGCAGCAAAACGAUUGUUUAGUAAAACGUUUGCCUCUGGGACGCAUACUACUGUCUGACAUUAGGAGAAAUUGCUCCUCGCGAGGCUCUUAGUUAUUUUUUUAAGCACUGCAGUAAUCAAGCACAGAACAAUCAUCACAGUCUGGUACUGUGUGGCUGAUAGCACUAUACAUUAUACUUGUUCCUUAUCCAAAUAUGUAUGUGGUUUAAUUAGGUCUGCUUUUAGUUGUCUUUUAUACUACUGAGCUGUGUGUGUGUGUGUGUGUGUGUGUGUGUGUGUGUGUGUGUGUGUGUGUGUGUGUCUGCUUGUGUAUGUUAAGUCAACAAGUUGCUAUUUGGUGGAGCUCAAUGUACCGUCUAACUGAAGAUCCUGCUCUCUUUCUCUCCUCUGCUGGUACCAAAAGAACAAGCUGGUGUUUCCCUUGUGCUCAUUUAUUUUCAAGAAACUCUGUCUAAGAACCAUUUCAUUCUUUAUACUUUGUACUACAAAUUGCCAUUUGAGCCAUAAAUAAGAAGAAGUUUUCCUUUAUGUAUUCAUAAAAUUCAGCAUGCCUGUUAUGUCUGCUAACAAAGCCUUUUCACAGCCUUCACACAGGUCCGAGAAGCAAUAUUGCUAGUUGUUUGACCCAGUCAGACCAUCUUGUUUAUUCCAGGGCCAUUGGAAUCAAUCUGCAAGUGAAAAUUUGUAGACAGCGGGCAAGUUUACCACCUCACCUGUUAUUUUCUAGUUAUACAAGAGUUACAUUUCUAACUUUCAUGUAUAUAUUUAAUCAUAGUACAUAAGUGUUGACAUCAAUGUGUAUAAUGACCUGUAAAGCUUUAGUACCCACAUCAUAGACCUGGAAGAUUUUUUUGGGGGGGGAGGAAAUGCUUGUGUAUAGAGGUCUGUUACUGCAGAUAUAGGGAGAGAUGUAUGAAGCAGUGAAAAGAGUGGAUAAGUGUGCCAGUGAAGAAGUUGCCCAUGGCAACCAAUCAGCAUUAAGGUAACAUUUAUCAAGUGCAUUCCCUAAAAAUAAUAAGUAGCUGAUUGGUUGGCAAGGGCAACUUCUCCACUCUUUUUACUGCUUCAUACAUCUCCCCUAUAGUUUUACUUUAUGGAAACAUAAGAGCUGUACUAGAAGAGAAUAAUGGGGGAGAUGUAUCAAAGCUGCUAAAAAAAAGACAAGUGGAGAAGUUGCCCAUAGCAGCCAAGCAGAUUACCUAUCAUUUUAUUUAAUGUACUAGAUAAAUUUUAGCCAGAAACAGAGGGGUUGCUAUGGGCAACAGCUCCCCAUGUCCUUUUUAGAAGGUUUGGUACAUCUCACCCAUAGUGUUCUUAAUAUCACCUGAGACACAAAUGCCAACCUUGUGCCUGAGAAUUACAUGUCCUAGUAUAUCUAAUAACUGGCAAGUACUAAAUCUAAUAAUACAAAAAUAAUAAAAGCUAUAAAAGCAGAACAAAAUCACCAGCACACAUUGUCAGUAUUGCAUCCAUACAAUUGAAGAACACAUUGUGGUUCUCAAAGUGUGUUAGAAGCUACAAGUGUGAGAAGCAAUACAUAAUAGAGUGUUAUUCUAAUUCCUUAUCAAGUCAACCCUGUUGCAGGGCCAUAACUAGGCAAGUGCUGGCGGUGCCUAGCACACAGUGCAUAUGCUCUUUAGGCAGAGAACCACUGGCAGGACCACAUCGCACUAUAGUCUCCUUUCAUGCCUGGCACCCCCACAACCACUGCCGCCAGCUGCAGUGUGGCCUGCAUUGAGGUGUGCCCGGCUCUUUCUGUUAUAUACAUUACAUAGCUGCCCGGCUGCAGGCUCCGCCCCCUCCUCAGCCACAGUGCCUCCUGUAGACAGGCAGCGAAGCAAUACAGCUCAUCAUCCUGCUGCUGCUCUUCUUCUUCUUCUACGUGGCUGCUUCCUUGCUCCAAGGCUGCAUCUCCUUCCCAGGCUGCUGCGGGACACAACAAAGUAAGCAAGGCAGAGAUGGAGGGGGAGAUGUACAAAGCCUGAAA